GAUGAACGCUGGCGGCGUGCCUAAUACAUGCAAGUCGAGCGAACAGACGAGGAGCUUGCUCCUCUGACGUUAGCGGCGGACGGGUGAGUAACACGUGGAUAACCUACCUAUAAGACUGGGAUAACUUCGGGAAACCGGAGCUAAUACCGGAUAAUAUAUUGAACCGCAUGGUUCAAUAGUGAAAGACGGUUUUGCUGUCACUUAUAGAUGGAUCCGCGCCGCAUUAGCUAGUUGGUAAGGUAACGGCUUACCAAGGCAACGAUGCGUAGCCGACCUGAGAGGGUGAUCGGCCACACUGGAACUGAGACACGGUACAGACUCCUACGGGAGGCAGCAGUAGGGAAUCUUACGCAAUGGGCGAAAGCCUGACGGAGCAACGCCGCGUGAGUGAUGAAGGUCUUCGGAUCGUAAAACUCUGUUAUUAGGGAAGAACAAAUGUGUAAGUAACUAUGCACGUCUUGACGGUACCUAAUCAGAAAGCCACGGCUAACUACGUG
rnacentral:rRNA from 1 species